rnacentral:rRNA from 1 species
GACGAACGCUGGCGGCGUGCUUAACACAUGCAAGUCGAACGGAAAGGCCCUUCGGGGUACUCGAGUGGCGAACGGGUGAGUAACACGUGGGUGAUCUGCCCUGCACUUUGGGAUAAGCCUGGGAAACUGGGUCUAAUACCGAAUAUGAUCAUCAGCUUCAUGGUUGGUGGUGGAAAGCUUUUGCGGUGUGGGAUGGGCCCGCGGCCUAUCAGCUUGUUGGUGGGGUAAUGGCCUACCAAGGCGACGACGGGUAGCCGGCCUGAGAGGGUGACCGGCCACACUGGGACUGAGAUACGGCCCAGACUCCUACGGGAGGCAGCAGUGGGGAAUAUUGCACAAUGGGCGCAAGCCUGAUGCAGCGACGCCGCGUGAGGGAUGACGGCCUUCGGGUUGUAAACCUCUUUCAGCACAGACGAAGCGCAAGUGACGGUAUGUGCAGAAGAAGGACCGGCCAACUACGUGCCAGCCGCCGCCGUAA